UACGAAGGGGGCAAGCGUUGUCCGGAAUCAUUGGGCGUAAAGAGCGUGUAGGCGGCUCGGUAAGUCCGCUGUGAAAGUCCAGGGCUCAACCCUGGAAUGCCGGUGGAAACUGUCGAGCUAGAGUCCGGAAGAGGCGAGUGGAAUUCCUGGUGUAGCGGUGAAAUGCGCAGAUAUCAGGAGGAACACCAAUGGCGAAGGCAGCUCGCUGGGACGGUACUGACGCUGAGACGCGAAAGCGUGGGGAGCAAACAGG
rnacentral:rRNA from 1 species